AACUUUUAGCAAUGGAUCUCUUGGCUUUCGCAUCGAUGAAGAACGCCGCGAAAGCGCGAAACGUAAUGUGAAUUGCAGAAUUCAGUGAACCAUCGAAUCUUUGAACGCACCUUGCGCCCCUUGGUAUUCCGAGGGGCAUGCCUGUUUGAGUGUCGUGAAGUCCCUCGACCCUUCCCCCGCGCUUUGCCCCGGGGGGCGGUCGGACGUGGACGUUGCCCCCUCUUUGAAGAGGGGCUCGUCUCGAAAUGCAUCAGCCAGGUCCCAACCCGGUCCCGCAGACAACGGUGUGAUAAACUCGUAUUCGCUCGCGUCGGCGGUGGCAAAUGGGUCGGCUCACAGUCGUCUUCGGACAAGCGUAUUUCAAAUCCGUACCUCAAAUCAGGUAGGACUACCCGCUGAACUUAAGCAUAUCAAUAAGCGGAGGCU
rnacentral:misc_RNA from 1 species